rnacentral:rRNA from 1 species
UACGUAGGGGGCAAGCGUUGUCCGGAAUCAUUGGGCGUAAAGCGCGUGUAGGCGGCCCGAUAAGUCCGCUGUGAAAGUCCAGGGCUCAACCCUGGGAUGCCGGUGGAUACUGUCGGGCUCGAGUCCGGAAGAGGCGAGUGGAAUUCCUGGUGUAGCGGUGAAAUGCGCAGAUAUCAGGAGGAACACCAAUGGCGAAGGCAGCACUCUGGGACGUGACUGACGCUGAGACGCGAAAGCGUGGGGAGCAAACAGG